rnacentral:SRP_RNA from 1 species
GCCGGGCACAGUGGCGCGUGCCUGUAGUCCCAGCUGCUUGGGAGGCUGAGGUGGGAGGAUCGCUUGAGUCCAGGAGUUUUGGACUGUAGUGGCUAUGCCAACCAGGCAUCCACACUAAGUUCAGCAUCAAUAUGGUGGCCUCCCGGGAGCAGGGGAUCACCAGGUUGCCUAAGAAGGAGUGAGCUGGCCCAGGUUGGAAACGGAGCAGGUCAAAACUCCUGUGCUGAUCAGUAGUGGGAUCGCAUCUGUGAAUAGCCACUGCACUCAGCCUGGGCAACAUAGCAAGACUCCGUCUCU